rnacentral:rRNA from 1 species
UACGGGGGGAGCAAGCGUUGUCCGGAUUUACUGGGCGUAAAGGGCGGGUAGGCGGCCACUGCAAGUCGGUUGUGAAAUCUCCGGGCUUAACCCGGAAAGGUCAAUCGAUACUGCAGGGCUAGAGUGCAGAAGGGGCAACUGGAAUUCUCGGUGUAGCGGUGAAAUGCGUAGAUAUCGAGAGGAACACCUGCGGCGAAGGCGGGUUGCUGGGCUGACACUGACGCUGAACUGCGAAAGCUAGGGGAGCGAACGGG